rnacentral:rRNA from 1 species
CUUAGAGUUUGAUCCUGGCUCAGAGCGAACGCUGGCGGCAGGCUUAACACAUGCAAGUCGAGCGGGCGUAGCAAUACGUCAGCGGCAGACGGGUGAGUAACGCGUGGGAACGUACCUUUUGGUUCGGAACAACACAGGGAAACUUGUGCUAAUACCGGAUAAGCCCUUACGGGGAAAGAUUUAUCGCCGAAAGAUCGGCCCGCGUCUGAUUAGCUAGUUGGUGAGGUAACGGCUCACCAAGGCGACGAUCAGUAGCUGGUCUGAGAGGAUGAUCAGCCACAUUGGGACUGAGACACGGCCCAAACUCCUACGGGAGGCAGCAGUGGGGAAUAUUGGACAAUGGGGGCAACCCUGAUCCAGCCAUGCCGCGUGAGUGAUGAAGGCCCUAGGGUUGUAAAGCUCUUUUGUGCGGGAAGAUAAUGACGGUACCGCAAGAAUAAGCCCCGGCUAACUUCGUGCCAGCAGCCGCGGUAAUACGAAGGGGGCUAGCGUUGCUCGGAAUCACUGGGCGUAAAGGGUGCGUAGGCGGAUCUUUAAGUCAGAGGUGAAAGCCUGGAGCUCAACUCCAGAACUGCCUUUGAUACUGGGGAUCUUGAGUUCGGGAGAGGUGAGUGGAACUGCGAGUGUAGAGGUGAAAUUCGUAGAUAUUCGCAAGAACACCAGUGGCGAAGGCGGCUCACUGGCCCGAUACUGACGCUGAGGCACGAAAGCGUGGGGAGCAAACAGGAUUAGAUACCCUGGUAGUCCACGCCGUAAACG